CCUGUCUUCUCUUGUUUAGCCUCCUGCUUGUUGCCUCCUGUCAUGCCUGUCCACUCCUCCUCGUCUGUGAGGAGAGGCUGUUUGCUCGCUGGUGUCACUGUGGAUUUUUCAAGUCCCGGGGAACAUUCAACGCUGUCGAUGUUGCCAUUUUCAGGGGUCAGUCCCCCGGUUUAAUGGUUUGUCCCCAGCUGGAGCUGUCCCCAGAAAUGUCCCCAGAUCCCUCCCUCUCCAGACAGAAGACAGGGACAUCUUUUGAUUUAUUUUUAUCUCAAGACCUCAAGAAUUGCUCCUGGAUGCCAUGCAGUCUCUCCCAGUGCAGGCUUCCGGUUCACAUUCAUCGCUGUCGGUGGGUUUGGGAAUGCCGUCAGCUCGCCGGUCGAUGAAUGACAACCGUGUCCAUGCAUGACCGCAUUUCCUGAAAUGAAGCCUUGAUCAUCUGUAUCAGCUGCUUGCAUCUUGUGUUAUCUGUAAACCAACUGUGUGUUCUCUGUUCGGGAAUG